GAUCCUGGCUCAGGAUGAACGCUGGCGGCGUGCUUAACACAUUCAAGUCGAACGGAGUCUUUUUGGAAGCUUGCUUCCGGGAAGACUUAGUGGCGGACGGGUGAGUAAUGCAUGAGCAACCUGCCUUCAGGAGGGGGGAUAACAUCGGGAAACCGGUGCUAAUACCGCAUAGAGCAUUUUGCAGGCAUCUGCGAGAUGGGAAAGGAGCAAUCCGCCUGGAGAUGGGCUCAUGU
rnacentral:rRNA from 1 species